rnacentral:tRNA from 1 species
GUGGAAGACUACUAAUUGGUCGGUUACUCCCUUUGGGUGGGAGACUUUGCGAGUUCGAGUCCCGCCUUCCACA